AGCAGCUGGGAUUUGAACUUGUAGGCUUUGCCACCAACCUGAUCUCAUGAGAUCUCGGGAGCUAAGUGAGUUUGGGCUUGGUCAGUACUAGGGUGGGAGCAGUACAGGGAAACCCAGGUUCCUCCUGUGA
rnacentral:rRNA from 1 species